UCUCUAAUAGCUCAGUCGGUAGAGCGAGUGGCUGUUAACCACCAGGUCGUUGGUUCGAGUCCAACUUAGAGAG
rnacentral:tRNA from 1 species